rnacentral:lncRNA from 1 species
UCUGUUCAUUAUUUUUUCCUGAUAAGUGGACACUUUGUAAACUCCCACCUGAGGGCAUGGCACCUCCAAAAAGGACUGUGUCAAGGCAAGUGGUGCUCAGAAAGGACACCGGAAUUGUUAUAUCCAGCUCUCUCUUCUAAGCUCUGUGCAACCAGACCCGCUAGUUGACUUCUGCCUUAUUUUCAUGAAAUUUUGGGGCAUCAUGUCUUCAGCUUGGAGGAGGAAAGAAGAAAGGAACUACCAAUGUCACCAUGAUUAUAAUCCUGYCUUCAUCACUUUUUUUUGGACAUCCUUGGAACAAGGACACACUGGGUCUGCUUCAGAGUUGCUGGAAUUAUUACAGCUGAUUUUGCCUCGGGCACGGGUCACUGGGGAGCUGAUACCUGGGGUUCCGUUGAUAUCCCUGUCAUUGGCAAGGUAAGGAGAGGUUGACUUGCAUUCACUAUGAGCAGCAGACUAGAAAUAAAUCAUUUUAAUAUGCUUUCUGAAGAUAAAAA